GUGAGGAAUAUUGGUCAAUGGGCGGGAGCCUGAACCAGCCAAGUCGCGUGAAGGAAGAAGGAUCUAUGGUUCGUAAACUUCUUUUGUAGGGGAAUAAAGUGCAGGACGUGUCCUGUUUUGUAUGUACCCUGAGAAUAAGGAUCGGCUAACUCCGUGCCAGCAGCCGCGGUAAUACGGAGGAUCCGAGCGUUAUCCGGAUUUAUUGGGUUUAAAGGGUGCGUAGGUGGUUUGAUAAGUCAGAGGUGAAAGAUUGCAGCUUAACUGUAAAAAUGCCGUUGAAACUGUCAGACUUGAGUGUACAUGAGGUAGGCGGAAUGCGUGGUGAAGCGGUGAAAUGCAUAGAUAUCACACAGAACUCCGAUUGCGAAGGCAGCUUACUAAGCUACAACUGACACUGAAGCACGAAAGCGUGGGGAUCAAACAGGAUUAGAAAACCUGGUAGGCC
rnacentral:rRNA from 1 species